UGCAAGUCGAGCGGAAGGCCCUUCGGGGUACUCGAGCGGCGAACGGGUGAGUAACACGUGAGCAACCUGCCCUAGGCUUUGGGAUAACCCCGGGAAACCGGGGCUAAUACCGAAUAUGACCUGGCCUCGCAUGAGGCUUGGUGGAAAGUUUUUCGGCCUGGGAUGGGCUCGCGGCCUAUCAGCUUGUUGGUGGGGUGAUGGCCUACCAAGGCGACGACGGGUAGCCGGCCUGAGAGGGCGACCGGCCACACUGGGACUGAGACACGGCCCAGACUCCUACGGGAGGCAGCAGUGGGGAAUAUUGCACAAUGGGCGGAAGCCUGAUGCAGCGACGCCGCGUGAGGGAUGACGGCCUUCGGGUUGUAAACCUCUUUCAGCAGGGACGAAGCGUAAGUGACGGUACCUGCAGAAGAAGCGCCGGCCAACUACGUGCCAGCAG
rnacentral:rRNA from 1 species